AUCUUUGCGCCUGGGAAAUGACGCUGCUAAUGACGUACUACGUGUCAGUUGCCAGUUAAAAGCUAUUUCCAAAUUCCUGCCUCGACCUUAGAUCUCCCAAGCCAGCUGGAAAUUUCUGGAAUGGCUCUUUCUAAUCAAGGGUUAAAUCC